AGUGAACGCUGGCGGUAGGCCUAACACAUGCAAGUCGAACGGCAGCACAGUAAGAGCUUGCUCUUACGGGUGGCGAGUGGCGGACGGGUGAGGAAUACAUCGGAAUCUACUUUUUCGUGGGGGAUAACGUAGGGAAACUUACGCUAAUACCGCAUACGACCUACGGGUGAAAGCAGGGGAUCUUCGGACCUUGCGCGAUUGAAUGAGCCGAUGUCGGAUUAGCUAGUUGGCGGGGUAAAGGCCCACCAAGGCGACGAUCCGUAGCUGGACUGAGAGGAGGAUCAGCCACACUGGAACUGAGACACGGUCCAGACUCCUACGGGAGGCAGCAGUGGGGAAUAUUGGACAAUGGGCGCAAGCCUGAUCCAGCCAUACCGCGUGGGUGAAGAAGGCCUUCGGGUUGUAAAGCCCUUUUGUUGGGAAAGAAAAGCAGCAGGUUAAUACCCCGCUGUUCUGACGUUACCCAAAGAAUAAGCACCGGCUAACUUCGUG
rnacentral:rRNA from 1 species